rnacentral:sRNA from 1 species
UCCGGUUCGGGGAGGUGGCGGGACCUUGGCGGCGCCCGGAGCCGGCGUGGCGCUCAUCGAGGGAUGCCCGGCCCAAGUGGCUGGGGCCAAGCCGCAGAGCGGAGUUGGCAUUUCCAGAUUGGGGCUCGGGCUGCGCCUCCUCCGGGACCCUCCCCUUGGACCGAGCCGAUCGCCGCGGGGCAGUUCGGGCCGGCUGUCCUGGCGCGGUGAAGGUGAUAAAGUAAAGUGCUUUCACUGUGGAGGAGGGCUAACUGAUUGGAAGCCCACUGAAGACCCUUGGGAACAACAUGCUAAAUGGUAUCCAGGGUGUAAAUAUCUGUUAGAACAGAAGGGACAAGAAUAUAUAAACAAUAUUCAUUUAACUCAUUCACUUGAGGAGUAAGAACUACUGAGAAAACACCAUCACUAACUAGAAGAAUUGAUGACACCAUCUUCCAAAAUCCUAUGGUACAAGAAGCUAUACGAAUGGGUUUCAGUUUCAAGGACAUUAAGAAA